CCUGCUCGGGUCCCCUUCCACACUGUGGAAGCUUUGUUCUUUCACUCUUUGCAAUAAAUCUUGCUACUGCUCGCUCUUUGGGUCCAUGCUGCUUUUAUGAGCUGUAACACUCACCGCGAAGAUCUGCAGCUUCACUCCUGAGCCCAGCAAGACCACGAGCCCACCGGGAGGAACGAACAACUCCAGACGCGCUACCUUAAGAGCUGUAAUACUCACUGUGAAGGUCUGCAGCUUCACUCCUGAGCCAGCGAGACCACGAACCUACCAGAAGGAAGAAACUCCGAACACAUCUGAACAUCAGAAGGGACAGACUCCAGACGUGCUGCCUUACGAGCUGUAACACUCACCGCGAGGGUCCGCGGCUUCAUUCUUGAGAAGAUGAUAGAUGCAGACAUCACCACCAUUCUCCCUUAUACCAUCAUUCUCUUUUAUGUGAAAGUUGCCAGAAUCAAAAUGGAGUCACUAAUGUUUAAAGAAAGAAGAGCCCUGACAAAUCGAGCCACAGAAGGCCAUGAAGAGAAGGUUCUUUAUGCUUGUAUGCCUCACAAAAAAGACUCUGGAAAAAUCGUAUCCUUGCACAGAAGCCACCAGAAAUUUCCAUAAAAAACACUGCAAGAACAUCUGCCCCCGAACUGCCUGUCCAACCUGGACUGACAUCAUCCUUGUUAUUGAUCUUUGUAGCCAAAUAUAAUUAUUUUAAAACAAUUGUGCAAUUCGCCUCUUUUCUUUAAAAAUCUUUGUCUUCCUUUACCUCCCUGAAUAUGCACAUAGUUUACUAUGACGGGUAUAUUCUCAUUGCAAUACUCUAUUCCCAAAUAAAUGUCUUUUUCUUUUAGAGAGCCUCCCUUUGUUAUUUAGGUUGACUUAUAUGGUGUCACUUGAAAGUGAUGUCUGGAUCCGCAGCAACCAUCUUACAACCUUGAAGUGACAAGCUGGAAGAAAAGGCCAGAAGAUGCACAUAGAGUUUAAUCCUGACAGAGAUGAGUUACUGAAGCAAUGCCAGUGACCUCCUAUCCGCUAAUUUACUAUUACUUAACAAACUUUUUUCUUUUUUUUUUUUGAGACAGGGUCUCGCUCUGUCACCCAGGCUGGAGUGCAGUGUUGUGAUCUCAGCUCACUGCAAACUCCAUCUCCCAGGUUCAAGCGAUUCUCAUGCUUCAGCCUCCUGAUUAGCUGGGAUUACAGGGGUCUCCAGUGCCUGGGCCAUAGACUGGUACCAGCCCAUGGCCUGUUAGAAACCAGGCCGCACAGCAGGAGGUGAGCAGCAGACAAGCAAGCAAAGCUUCAUCUGUAUUUACAGCCACUCCCCAUCACGGGCAUUACUGCCUGAGCUCCGCCUCCUGUCAGAUGGGACCAUGUAGAUACAGGAAAACAAGCUCAGGGCUCCAACUGAUUCUACAUCAUGAUAUCCUUUCAGGUCCUGCACACCAGUGAAACUAAUGAGGUCAGCUGAUCUGAAGGACCCCAUCGACAUCAGCAGUUCUGAAGGAUCACACAAGGAGCUGACUCACUGAAUGCAGUUUCCACAUCCUGACGACUUCAUCCCUUUGACCCCAACCACUCAAUGACCCCAAUUUUCCAGUCCCUCAUUCUCCACAAUCCCCUUAAAAACCCCAGCCCAGAACUCCUCAGGGAGAUGGACUUGAAGAUCUCCUCUCAUCUCCUUGCUCAGCCACCCUGCAAUCAUUAAACUCUUUCUCUGCUGCAAA